UUGGCCUUGAGUCAUGGCUAGCAGUUUGCUGAAGUUGUUGUCUUCAAGUAAGAGCUUAAAGAAAUGUCUUUCUAUGGUCUAUUGGCCAUUUUAUAAAUUUGGAAAGUAAUGGUGAACUCAUUAGAAAGAAACAUCU
ensembl:snoRNA